GACGAACGCUGGCGGCGUGCCUAAUACAUGCAAGUCGAGCGAGCUUGCCUAGAUGAUUUUAGUGCUUGCACUAAAUGAAACUAGAUACAAGCGAGCGGCGGACGGGUGAGUAACACGUGAGUAACCUGCCCCAGAGUGGGGGACAACAGUUGGAAACGACUGCUAAUACCGCAUAAGCCCACGGAACCGCAUGGUUCUGGGGGAAAAGGAGCAAUUCGCUUUGGGAUGGACUCGCGUCCGAUUAGCUAGAUGGUGAGGUAACGGCCCACCAUGGCGACGAUCGGUAGCCGGACUGAGAGGUUGAUCGGCCACAUUGGGACUGAGACACGGCUCAG
rnacentral:rRNA from 1 species